ACCCACUUCCUGCAGCUUAGGCUUCUCGCCGCUGAGAAAUCCAUCCGGAUUGGUUACAUUAUAGAUAUAGACCUUGCCUUAAAUUCUGCGAAUAUACGAAGAAUCAUGAUAUUAGAAGAAGCUGAGCGCUCACAUUGAGAUGACGCGAACUUACCUUUAGUAUAAAAUAGUCCAGCCAUGCUAGUCUAUCUGAAAGUAAAUUUAAAAUCGUUAAAUACAGUUGGUAACAAUUGUGCGAUUAGUCAGCAUAUUUGGUUUAUUUUUUUUUAACAGCAGCUCGUGUUGUUGACCUUUACAUGCAAAAAUCUC